GAGGGACUUUGCAGAGCCUCCCUGGGUCAUGCUGGGUGGCUGAGCCUUGUCCCUCUGCAGGCUUCGGCAGAGACUGGAUAUUGGCAUGCCAAGCAGAGGUCCCCCACACCUCCUGAAGAAGAGAGGCCAGAGAGUCCUGUUGAAGCCUCUGAGUCUCCCCACCUGCAUUCUGGGGAACCCAUGCAGACCAUGGCCACUGCAUCUACACGCCACCUUGGGGCCAUAAGCCUGCAGCCAGGAAUAGCAGCUGUGACCAUGCUCCCCCCACAUCCACUGAUGCCGGUGACUCCUGCUGGUAAGAUCCCAAGUCCUGCUACAUGCAAGCCUAUGAGCCCAGCUUCUCAGUGAAGGCAUA
rnacentral:lncRNA from 1 species